rnacentral:rRNA from 1 species
AGUGAACGCUGGCGGUAGGCCUAACACAUGCAAGUCGAACGGCAGCACAGUAAGCUCUUUCUCUUACGGUUGGCGACUGGCGGACGGGUAAGGAAUACAUCACCAUCUUAUUUUUCUUGGGGGAUUACGUAGGGCCAUUUCCGCUAAUACCUCAUAUUUCCUACGGCUUAAUUCAGGAGAUCUUCGCACCUUUCGCGAUUGUAUUAGCCGAUGUCGGAUUAGCUAGUUGGCUGGGUAAAGGCCCACCAAGGCAACGAUCCGUAGCUGGUCUGAGAGGAUGAUCAGCCACACUGGAACUGAGACACGGUCCAGACUCCUACGGGAGGCAGCAGUAGGGAAUAUUGGACAAUGGGCGAAAGCCUGAUCCAGCAAUACCGCGUGGGUGAAGAAGGCCUUCGGAUUGUAAAACCCUGUUGUUAGGAAAGAAAAGAAGCAGGAGAAAACGCGGAUGUUCUGACGGUACCUAAAGAAUAAGCAACGGCUAACUUCGUG